rnacentral:tRNA from 1 species
GAGCGGGAAAUGUGGAAACGUGGGACAAUUGUGCCCAGUGGUGAGGGUUCGACUCCCUCCCCGCUCC